GGAAGAGCCAUAGCUCAGUGGUAGAGCAUCUGCUUUGUAUGCAGAUGUUAGGUUCAAUCAUCAGCGUCUCCA